AGAGUAUGAAGAAGGGGUGGGAGAGAUCAGGGGGAAGCUCUGCUUCAGCUGUGGGGCCACAGAAGGCAGGACUCGGUGAAGAUCUCCACCAUGGCCUGGUCCCCUCUCCUCCUCACCCUCAUCGCUCUCUGCACAGGAUCCUGGGCCCAGUCUGUGACUCAGCCCGCCUCAGUGUCUGGGACCCUGGGCCAGACAGUCACCAUCUCCUGCUCUGGAAGCAGCUCCAACAUCGGGUAUAGUUAUAGUUAUGUGGGCUGGUUCCAACAGAUCCCAGGAACAGCCCCCAAAACCCUCAUCUAUGGUAAUAACAAACGAGCCUCAGGGGUCCCAGAUCGAUUCUCUGGCUCCAAGUCUGGCAACACAGCCACCCUGACCAUCUCUGGGGUCCAGGCUGAGGACGAGGCCGAUUAUUACUGUGGUUCCUAUGACAGCAGCAGUAGUAGUGGUGCAUUCGGCGGAGGCACCCACCUGACCAUCGCAGGUGGUCCCACGUCUCACCCUCGGUCUCUCUCUUCCCGCCCUCCUCUGAGGAGCUCAGCGCCAACAAGGCCACAGUGGUGUGUCUCAUCAGUGACUUCUCCCCCAGCGGCUGGAGGUGAUCUGGAAGGUAAAUGACGCUGUCACCACGACGGCGUCCAGACCACCAGGCCUCGAAACAGAGCAACGGCAAGUACGCGGCCAGCAGCUACCUGACGCGGACUUCCGCACAGUGGAAAUCGUACAGCAGCGUCAGCUGCCAGGUCAAGCACCAAGGGAAAACCGUGGAGAAGAAACUGUCCCCCUCAGAGUGUCCUUAGGUCCCCGAGUCGCCCACACCCUCAGGGACCUGCUGUCACGGGACCCCUAAGGGGGUCGACCCUUCCCACUCCGACACCUCCUUCUCCCUCCGCCCAAAUCCUUCUCAAUAAAACAUCCUCCUUCUCAAUCAGA